CUGGACUUUGCUACGUGAUGUUAUUUGGGAGCAACAGCAAUUAUUAUGGUAACAGUAUCUCCAGAGAACAAGGGGAGGGACAAUGGUAGAGUCAGAUUCAUCACCUCAUAGAAUGGUACAACUGUAAGAAAUCUCCAGGACCAUCUGAUCCAACACUCUCAUUUUACGGAGAAGGAAAUUGACAUCCAUAGAGAUCAAGUGAUACAUCCAAGAUUACAUGGCCAACAAAUGAUAUUUGUUGGAACCUACCAUGAGCACCAUUUUACUGGGGAUUUGGAGGUGAAGAAAACAUAUACAGUCCCUACUCUUUUGGAAUGUGACCACAAAGAGACAGGAAUCCAACCACAUCAUGGCAAGUCAGACAGUUCACCCACAUUUUUAUGUCUGUGGCUCCUUUGUCUAUAAAAUUGUAUGGCAUUAUCCAUGCUCUAUGUCCCAGACAUAAUAUUAUUAAAAAUGUAACACUACCAGGGAGGCUGGCCGGCUCUGUUGGUGGGGCAUGCAACUCUUGAUCUUAGCCCUGUGAGGAGUGUAGAGAUUUAAAAAAAAAAAAAAAAAAAAGCAGCACUACAAAGGAUGUAGAAUGGCCAAAUCAAUUUAAAAAAAAAUGAAGUUCGAGGAGUUAAUUCUGUCUGGUUUGAGGACUUACUGUAAAAGCUACAAUAAUCACAAUAGUGUAGUGGUGGUUUAAGGAUAGGCAUUGAUUAAUGUAACAGAGUUGAGAGUUCAGAAAUUUAGACCCACACUUUCAUGGUCAACUGAGUUUUGAUAAAGUUGAUAAGAUAAGAAGAUGGAGAUGGUUUUCAAUAAAUUAUGCUGGAAUAACUGGAUUUCUAGAUUAAGAAAGCAUAUGCAGAAUUUAGGUACAAACAGAUUAAGGAACUAAAUCUAAGAGCUAACACUGUAAACUUUCUAGAAGAAAGCAUAGGAGAAAAUUUUUGUGAUCUUGGAUUAGGUAAAAUUUCUUACAUGGAACACAAAGAGCUUGAACCAUGAAGAAAAAUUAUAAAUUGGACUUGAAAAAGACUAAAAACAUUAGCUUGCUGAAAUACAUAAGGAAAUGAAAAGGAAAGCCAUUAAUAGAAAUAUCUGUAAGGGAUGUAUUUGAAAAAGGACCUGUAUCCAGAUAACAUAAAGUUCUCUUAUAACCCAAUAAUAAUAAAACAAUCCAAUGAUAAAAACAGAAAAAAAAAUAUUUGAAUAGACACUGCACAAGGAAAAUAUACAGGUGGUAAGAAAUCACACAAAGAGAGUCUCAACAGCUUUGGUGAUUAGAGCAAUGCAGCUUAAAAUCACAAUGAGAGACCACUACGCCCAUGCCAGAAUAGCGAAGAUUAAAAAAAGUAACAUUAACAAGUGUUGGUGAGGAUAUGGAGCAACUGGAAGUCUCAUACACAGCUGGUGGGAAUGUAAAAGCGGCAAAACCAUUUCACAGAAGGAAGUUUCUUUAAAAUGUUAAAAUUCACUUAUCAUAUGACCCCUGCCCUUCCACUCUUAGAUAUUUGCCUCAGAGAAAUAAAAACGUAUUCAUGAAGGCUCAUAGUAUUAUUACUUCAUAAGAGUCCCAAACUGGAAACAAUCCAAAUAACCAUUUAAAAAGAAAAAGAGAGAGAAAGAAAAAGAAAAUGGUGAUAUGCAAUGGAAUAGUGACAACUGAAAGGAAUCAAGAACUGAUACAGUAACACAGAUGAAUCUCAAAAGCAUUCUUCUAAGUGACAAAAGCCAAAAAUAAAAUAACAUACACUGUUCUAUAUGAUUCCAUCCACAUUAAAGUCUAGAAAAGGCAAAACUGUAGUGGCAACAAGCACACCAGUUGUCUUCUGGGGCAGAGGGUAAAGAAGGGAAUUGAGUGCAAAGGGACCUGAAGAAAACUGGGGGUUAUGGAAGUCUUCCGAAGUGCAAUCCUUGUGGUGGUUGGAUGACUGCAUGUUUACUAAAAUUCAUUCACAGUUAAAAUUGGUGAAAUUUACUAUACAUAAAUUAUAUUUAAAUAAAGCUGGAAAAACUGUUAUUUCAGAAUAAAUGCUUGGAGCAUAGAAAAAGCAGCACAUUUUAAUAAGGCAUAUUUUGGCAGUUACAUAGGACAAGGGAGAACGUGGUAAGCAAUGGGAAAAUUUUUGAGGUUCAUCCAGGAAAAAACCUCUACUCACCAUGGAACCCCAGCAAUCCUAG
ensembl:lincRNA